ACCAGGAUGGCCGAGUCCGUUGGACUUAAGAUCCAAUGGACGCAUGUCCUCGUGGGUUCGAACCCCACUCCUGGUA